rnacentral:rRNA from 1 species
GACGAACGCUGGCGGCGUGCCUAAUACAUGCAAGUCGAACGAGAGCGACCGGUGCUUGCACUGGUCAAUCUAGUGGCGAACGGGUGAGUAACACGUGGGUAACCUGCCCAUCAGAGGGGGAUAACAUCCGGAAACGGAUGCUAAAACCGCAUAGGUCUUCGAACCGCAUGGUUUGAAGAGGAAAAGAGGCGCAAGCUUCUGCUGAUGGAUGGACCCGCGGUGCAUUAGCUAGUUGGUGAGGUAACGGCUCACCAAGGCCGUGAUGCAUAGCCGACCUGAGAGGGUGAUCGGCCACAUUGGGACUGAGACACGGCCCAAACUCCUACGGGAGGCAGCAGUAGGGAAUCUUCCGCAAAGGACGCAAGUCUGACGGAGCAACGCCGCGUGAGUGAAGAAGGUUUUCGGAUCGUAAAACUCUGUUGUUAGAGAAGAACAAGUGCUAGAGUAACUGCUAGCGCCUUGACGGUAUCUAACCAGAAAGCCACGGCUAACUACGUG